rnacentral:rRNA from 1 species
GGGAAUCUGCCCCUUGGUUCGGAAUAACUCAGAGAAAUUUGAGCUAAUACCGGAUGACGACGAAAGUCCAAAGAUUUAUCGCCGAGGGAUGAGCCCGCGUAGGAUUAGCUAGUUGGUGGGGUAAAGGCCUACCAAGGCGACGAUCCUUAGCUGGUCUGAGAGGAUGAUCAGCCACACUGGGACUGAGACACGGCCCAGACUCCUACGGGAGGCAGCAGUGGGGAAUAUUGGACAAUGGGCGAAAGCCUGAUCCAGCAAUGCCGCGUGAGUGAUGAAGGCCUUAGGGUUGUAAAGCUCUUUUACCCGGGAUGAUAAUGACAGUACCGGGAGAAUAAGCUCCGGCUAACUCCGUGCCAGCAGCCGCGGUAAUACGGAGGGAGCUAGCGUUGUUCGGAAUUACUGGGCGUAAAGCGCACGUAGGCGGCUUUGUAAGUUAGAGGUGAAAGCCUGGAGCUCAACUCCAGAACUGCCUUUGAUACUGCAUGGCUUGAAUCCAAGAGAGGUGAGUGGAAUUCCGAGU